rnacentral:lncRNA from 1 species
GCUAAUUACUUAAUUUUAGACUCGAACUCGUUUAAACUCAGCUUGAUUCAAGCUUUUAACAAGCCGAUCUAGUACAACUCACGGAGAUCUCGACUCGUUUACACCGAUAGCGACCUCAAGGAUGAUAACCAAUCUUUGAUGCAAAAAAACACACACACAAGAAUACAUUGCAGGGUCUCCCGACGAAGGGAUCAGUAAAAGAAAACAUGAAACCUGUGGAUUUCAAACUACAAACAACGGCAAAAGAAAACACCAAAUCUAUGGAAGUUAAGCUCCAAACCAAAGAAAGAGCAGUUAAACGUGCUUUCUUUAACUACUCGGUUAGUUCAAGCGACGGUUUAUAGACAUCUAGCAACACUAUUUUUGUUUCUAAAUGUUACAAAACACUAAAUUACUACUAGAACUAAAACAACAAACCUUAAAUCGUUUAAUUUUUUUAUAACAGGUUCACAUUUUUUAAAUUUUAUACUUCUUAGUUACAUAACCUACACAUGUAUAUAUAUGCAUUGAUUUUCUAAACGCGUAGACGAUUUAUAUACAGGUAGCAACAAAGCUCUAUCUAAUGGAGCAACAAAAGAGACAAAUAGAGAGGAUACAAAAGGCAUGUAUAACUAAAACAUCUAUCUCUUUUUUGAAUUUGCAACCUUAAUAGAUAUUGACAUUUUUAUUGAUUACAAAACCGAAACUGGAACUGGAACCAGAUAAUCGAGGAAGAAGAAGUCCGAAUGUUAAGAAAGGAAAUGAUCCCACGAGCUCAGUUGAUGCCAUUAUUUGAUCGCCCUUUCGUUCCACGAAGGUUGCCACUAAAUCUAAAACAAAAUAUAUUGAUUGAUAUGUGUUCUUGCAGUUAGUUAAUGCUUAUUUUCUGUAGAUCUACAACUCCAACGAAAGUUGCGAAAAAGACAAGUUCACAAGAAAAGCAAAGAAACAGCUUUUCGAGCACAAGGGAAUUUUACGGUUUCAGAGAAAAUGAAGCACAUUGAUCACAAUCUGCAUUGAUCAUGUAUAGAACAAGCCAACUAAACUCAUGUUUGUUGGAGUGAUAACCAUUGAUGAGGUGUUUAGACUUAUAGAAGUGUGUUUUUUUUUUGUCUGAAGAACUGAACUUAAGUAGGAUGUUGUUGAAUAAAGUGUUAGGCUGUGGGCUGAAAAGAACCUUAUUUUUGACAGUUUGGUUUGUUUAUGUAAUCAUGUGUUGGUUUUGAAUGGAAACUUAUGGAUUUU